rnacentral:rRNA from 1 species
AGAUUGAACGCUGGCGGCAUGCCUUACACAUGCAAGUCGAACGGCAGCACGGGAGCAAUCCUGGUGGCGAGUGGCGAACGGGUGAGUAAUAUAUCGGAACGUGCCCAGUAGUGGGGGAUAGGCCCGGCGAAAGCCGGAUUAAUACCGCAUACGACCUGAGGGUGAAAGCGGGGGAUCGCAAGACCUCGCGCUACUGGAGCCGGCCGAUAUCAGAUUAGCUAGUUGGUGAGGUAAUGGCUCACCAAGGCUACGAUCAGUAGCUGGUCUGAGAGGAUGACCAGCCACA